AUGGCUUGGCUCUAUGGAGGGUUGGUGAAGGCCGAGAGGGAGAUGAAGGAUGCAUUUAGCAACUUGGAGAGGAACUACAAAGAUACUAUGGCCAUUGUUGAUAAGAAGAUGAAUGGAAGGCUUGAUUCACCAUUGCACAUGGCCGCAUAUGUGUUGAACCCACACUAUAGUUAUGCGGAUAGCUCCAUCUUUACCAUUGCAAAUGAAGGCUUCUAG
rnacentral:rRNA from 1 species